ensembl:lncRNA
GCCUCUUCCUUUAGCUUUUCUUCUUUUGGUUUCUUUUCAAUGAUUUCCUCAAGUUUGGCUCCCUCUUUUUUCUCCUCCUCGAGAGCUGACGUCGGGCUGAAUCCCACAGCAUGCUGCAGAUCUGAUAAACAGAAAGUAUCACGUCCAAGGCGGCAGAGAGCACAUCCUGGAUGUAUCCGGCUAUUCCACUCAGAAAGUCAUUAGUAACACAGAAGACAUUUCUACCAACAACCACAGGGUCCAUGAAGCUUGUGUCGGUGGUUCCUGAGAAGAACAAAGGCGCAUUCAAGCCAAAAAGUUCCAGUGUGUCACUUAAUUCAACAAAUUCAAACCCUGUUUGUUACACAGACAUUUAGACAGUCAGAGACCAAUGGGAAAAAUACCUUAUCCGCCAGUAAUGAACAAUUAUUAAUACAAAAAUAGUAACACUACAUAUCCACCCCAAACACAAGCUAACAGUUACCGUGAGAUAAUAUUGAUUAAGGAUUAAGGAAUUCAGGCAACAAAUAAAAAUGCAACAUUCCAGACAUUGUGUUGUGUUGUGAUAAAAAUACAA